CUCUUUUCAGCUGGAUGCCGGCGGUGCUUUCCUGCAUCGCUGCUAUGGAGACAAAGCACAGGAGAGGUGGUCUCCAAGCAAACUCUGAAAGUGACUCCGAGGAAAAUGGAUCCUGGAAACAUGUUCAACUGCAUGCUUCAAGAUCAUGCCUGACCCAGACUUUGGAGUGGGGACUUGAGAGAUCACACCAGGACGUGUGGGUGCAGACAGGAGUAAGAAAAAUAUGAUCCCAGUCAUCUCCUUAAUGGCCAGGAAAUGGAAAGAGAUACCAAGAGAUUGGGACUGUACAAUUCCCGUCAAAGACAAGCUGCUAAUGACCUAAGAGGUAUUGACUAGGCUCCAUCUCCCGAAGGUUCCAGCACUUCCUAAUAGCACCACCACAGCCGUCAAGCAUGGACAACCACAACACAGUCUGAGAUACACUGGUGAGCCAAUUCAGGCUCCACUACUUGCUCUUCAAGCUUGAAAAUCCUUGGUCUUCCAGAAAUGCUUAGCCUGCUCAGCAGCCAGUGCUAUGUUUUUUAAGAAAGAGAUUAUAAACUGAGACUCAAAUGUCAAGAUGCACUUGAAAGAAGGGAACAGACUGGGUUUGGGGGAAGGAGAAGGCAGCUGAUCUGUCAACUGUCUUCCACAUCAGCAGCAGGAAGAAAACGGAAGUAUUCCUUUGAAAUAUCUGAAAUCUUAACAUCAGUCACAGAAUGAUUCAGAGGGGUGUUAUAUGACAGCAUCUUUGUCUCCAUACAUGGUUACUGUCUCAUCCAAAAGAGUGUGCCCCAAAGGCUUUCCACAAAAGACAAUACCCAUGUCAAAAGUUAUGACAAAGGCUGGGCAUAAUUUAUGCAGGGAGUCACAUGUGAUGUGCUUACUCAGACAGCCUUGGGGGCCACUCUUGAGGUAUUUUAUUCAUGAAAGCAUUUACUUAAUCAUUCAUUCCUUCAAAUGCUGUUGGCUUAAAUAUUUUAGAUGUUUCUAAUGUA
rnacentral:lncRNA from 1 species